rnacentral:rRNA from 1 species
UACGGAGGGUGCAAGCGUUAUCCGGAAUUACUGGGCGUAAAGGGCUCGUAGGUGGCCAACUAAGUCAGACGUGAAAUCCCUCGGCUUAACCGGGGAACUGCGUCUGAUACUGGAUGGCUUGAGUUCGGGAGAGGGAUGCGGAAUUCCAGGUGUAGCGGUGAAAUGCGUAGAUAUCUGGAGGAACACCGGUGGCGAAGGCGGCAUCCUGGACCGACACUGACACUGAGGAGCGAAAGCCAGGGGAGCAAACGGG